AAUAUUCAAAACCAGUAAUGUUAUUUCCUCUGAUUCAUAGGAGAAUUGUUUGAACCACUGGGGAUGGGGACUAUGCCUGUCUCAUUCUUUGCGGUAUCCCAGCACCUAGUACAGUGGCUCAAGGAGAAAGAGACACUGAAGCCUGCAAAAAGAGAGAGAUUUGCCUAAGGUCUGUAGUCUGCAGGUGAGCUCUGGGUUCAGAGAAGUGAUGUUUGCCCAACGUCAGGGCUCUUGUUUGAACUUCUCUGCUGCAACCAGGUGAGCAGACACCAGUUCUCUCUGGUGACCCCACCCACGCUGUGAGACAUGACAUCCCGCCCCCUCAGGGUCUCCUGUGGCACCUGCUGCCCACCCACUCGUCUGGGUAUCCUGACAAGAUGUCCAUCCGCACCCAGCCUGUGCCUAGCAGAGCAGGUGAGCAGCUCUGGGUGUUUCUGGAAUCAGAUUUCAGAACUUUAAAUGGAAGCUUAUCACUGUUCAUAGUCAUGGGAUCAUUUGGCCAAUGGGGGAACCUGGGAGGCAGGCCUUCCUAUGUUGGUUGAAGGAGAGCUUUGCUUCUCGUGGCAUACAGGGACCCACCCUUAUGGCAUGACUUCAAAGUUAUGUGACAUGGUGGUGCAGCUGGAAGAUGAGGAAAGUGAACAACGUUGGAGAGGCCCCACCUACUCUUGACUGUCUCUGCUGGAAGUGAUUCAACACUCCUCUUUAAAUUUCAUUGGUAAGGAAAACCCCCAUGAGAGAAAGUAACUUGAUCAACAUCACACAGCUAGGUGGGAGUGGUGGCUUCUGCCUGUAAUCCAAGCACUUUGGGAGGACGAGGCAGGCAGAUCGCUUGAGCCCAGGAGUUUGAAACCAGCCUGGGCAACAUGAGGAAACCUUGCCUCUAUAAAAUAAACAAAAAUUAACCAGGU
rnacentral:lncRNA from 10 species